rnacentral:rRNA from 1 species
CCUACGGGAGGCAGCAGUGGGGAAUAUUGCGCAAUGGGCGAAAGCCUGACGCAGCGACGCCGCGUGAGGGAUGAAGGUCUUCGGAUCGUAAACCUCUGUCAGCAGGGAAGAACGGGCACUGUGCUAAUCAGCAGUGAAUUGACGGUAACUGCAAAGGAAGCACCGGCUAACGCCGUGCCCGCAGCCGCGGUAAUACGGAGGGUGCGAGCGUUAAUCGGAAUUACUGGGCGUAAAGCGCACGUAGGCGGUAUGUCAAGUCAAGGGUGAAAUCCCCGCGCUCAACGUGGGAACUGCCUUUGAAACUGGCGAACUGGAGUGUAUGAGGGGAUAGUGGAAUUCCAGGUGUAGGGGUGAAAUGCGUAGAUAUCUGGAGGAACAUCAGUGGCGAAGGCGACUAUCUGGCACGUAACUGACGCUGAGGAGCGAAAGCGUGGGGAGCAAACAGGAUUAGAUACCCCUGUAGUC